GCACCGGCUAACUCCGUGCCAGCAGCCGCGGUAAUACGGAGGGUGCGAGCGUUAAUCGGAAUUACUGGCGUAAAGCGCAUGCAGGUGGUUUGUUUAAGUUCAGAUGUGAAAGACCCGGGGCCGUCAACCUACCGGAAUAGCAUUUGUAAACUAGGCAGACUAGAGUACUGUAGAGGGGGGUAGGGAAUUUCUAGGUGUAGCGGUGAAAUAGCGUAGAGAUCUGAAGGAAUACCGGUGGCGAAGGCGGCCCCCUCGGACAGAUACUGACACUCAGAUGCGAAAGCGUGGGGAGCAAACAGGAUUAGAUACCCCUGGUAG
rnacentral:rRNA from 1 species